rnacentral:lncRNA from 1 species
CUGCAUUGAAAACUCUCAUGUGUAGGGUUGAUGCUGUGGGGGGUUUGGGAUCCAGCUCAUUCUUUUUCUUCCAAGUCCAUCCUUGGGGUUGGCAGGGAGGGAGGAGAAUGCCCCCUUCCCAAGCCUUUAGUGUGUACUGAGCUUUCUUUUUGAUGCUGACAGGGGAGGGUGGGGACUUGGAUGGUGAGUGAGUUCCCCAUAUCAAACCGUUUGGUGGGCACAAAGCUGAGUGCUUGAUUUUAGGUUUUAUUUUUUUAUGAAUGUCUAGAUCUGUUUCCCCCUGCCCUCCCAGACUUGUGUGGCCAGUUGGAAAUGUCUAGUUUGUGUUCAUCUCUCCCUCAUUUCUGGAGCAGGGGCUGAGACCCCACCACAUCUUCUGUGCUCUGCAUCCACGCCUCUUUUG